rnacentral:rRNA from 1 species
UGGGGAAUAUUGCACAAUGGAGGGAACUCUGAUGCAGCGACGCCGCGUGAGUGAUGAAGGACUUCGUUUCGUAAAACUCUGUUCUAUGGGAAGAAAAGGACUGUACCAUAGGAGAAAGCUCCGGCUAAAUACGUGCCAGCAGCCGCGGUAAUACGUAUGGAGCGAGCGUUGUCCGGAAUUAUUGGGCGUAAAGGGUGCGCAGGCGGCUUUACAAGUUUGAUGUGAAAUAUUGUGGCUCAACCACAAACGUGCAUCCAAAACUGCAAAGCUUGAGUUAAGGAGAGGUAAGUGGAAUUCCUGCUGUAGAGGUGGAAUGCGUAGAUAUCAGGAGGAAUACCGGUGGCGAAGGCGACUUACUGGACUUAAACUGACGCACAGGCACGAAAGCGUGGGGAGCAAACAGG